rnacentral:rRNA from 1 species
AGAGGUCCCAAGCGUUGUUCGGAUUUACUGGGCGUAAAGGGUGCGUAGGCGGCUAGAAAAGUUUGGUGUGAAAUCUUCGGGCUCAACCCGGAAACUGCACUGAAAACUAUCUGGCUAGAGGAUCGGAGAGGAGAUUGGAAUUCUCGGUGUAGCAGUGAAAUGCGUGGUAUAUCGAGAGGAACACCAGUUGCGAAGGCGGAUCUCUGGACGGUUCCUGACGCUGAGGCACGAAAGCUGGGGUAGCGAAGAGGAUUAGAUACCCUCGUAGUCCCAGCCGUAAACGGUGCACACUUGCUGUGGGCGGAUUCGACCCCGUCCGUGGCGAAGCUAACGCGAUAAGUGUGCCGCCUGGGGAGUACGGUCGCAAGAUUAAAACUCAAAGAAAUUGACGGGGGCCUGCACAAGCGGUGGAGUAUGUGGCUUAAUUCGAUGCAACGCGAAGAACCUUACCUGGCCUUGACAUGUAGUAGCCCGGGUGCGAAAUCACCCUUUUCUUCGGAACUGCUACGCAGGUGCUGCAUGGCUGUCGUCAGCUCGUGUCGUGAGAUGUUGGGUUAAGUCCCGCAACGAGCGCAACCCUCGUGUUCUGUUGCCACCCGGAUGUAAAUCCGGAGCACUCUGGACAGACUGCCUGGUUUCAACUAGGAGGAAGGUGGGGAUGACGUCAAGUCAGUAUGGCCCUUACGGCCAGGGCUGCACACGUACUACAAUGCCUGCUAUAAUGGGAAGCAAGACCGCGAGGUGGAGCAAAUCCUCAAAAUCAGGCCCAGUUCAGAUUGUAGGCUGCAACUCGCCUACAUGAAGGAGGAAUCGCUAGUAAUGCCGUAUCAGCUACGACGGCGUGAAUACGUUCCCAGGCCUUGCACACACCGCCCGUC